UCUGUUUUAUCCCAUCCAAAUCGCCCAUAUGGCACCAAAAAGGAGUUGUUUUUGCUGGGUUGUCAUUCUAAAUAGUCUCUAAUCACAUGUUCCAAAGCCUCUGUUCCCUCCCUGCGUCUCGGACACAACGCCGAAUUACUGACUCUUCUAAAGCAUAGAAUUCCAAACGUAGGGAUAUAAUUGUUGUAUAUUCUCCAAUUUGUAAUUUUAAUCUUUUUUGGCAAAUCUGUAUGCCAAAGAUUGUUAUAAUAUGCUCUGCUUGUAUCUUCAUUGUUGGUCAUUUCUGGGUUUGUAUUUUUCUUCAAUAAACUUUUGUAUCCACUUUAUAUUGUGUAUUCCCCGGUUGGUUCACCACUCCAAACUCUUCUAUCUUCACGCGGGUGUUUUGCCAAAUGGAUGACUAGGAUUGCCUCUGCCUCAUUAUUAAUGAAUAGUCUGGGACCUAGGCAUCAUGCCAAAUUGAUAUGCUUUCACUAUUACCAACUUUACAAGUCAUUCCAUCUUGCAAGACUUUCCUCGUUGCCUAAAUACUCCUCCAGGUAUACGAAAGGUAAUUUCCUAACUCUGCUUGCAUGAAGUCUGUGCUUGGAUAAUAUUUAGCCUUUAAAGUCUUUGCUAAUAAUGAAUCUAGAUACUCCAAUAAACGCCAGCUUC